rnacentral:lncRNA from 1 species
AAAAAAAAAAAUCAGACUAGACCGUAAAGACUCAUCUUUCUUAAUCUAUUACUUCUAUUACUCUUUAUGAAUCUCCAAUACUUUAAGCUGAUGAGUCAUAAUCUUCUAAUUUAAAAAAAAAAAUUUAUUUAGAAUUAGCCAUUUUAUUCUCUCUCUCAAUAUACGUCUUUUCAUCUCCCCAGUUAAUUUUUAUUUAGAAUGAGCCAUUUUACUCCCUUUCUCUCAACAUACAACUCUUCAUCUCUCCCAUUUAAUUUUUAUUUAGAAUAAGCCAUUUUACUCUCUCUCUCUCUCAACAUACGUCUCCUUAUCUUCCCUAUUUUAUUCUCUCUCUCUCAACAUACGUCUCUUCAUUUCUUCCAUUUAAUUUUUAUUUAGAAUGAGUCAUUUUACUCUCUCUCUCUCUCUAUCUCCAUCGUCUCUCCAUCUUGGGUUCAUAUCUGCUGCCUACAGUGAGAGACUUUCGGUAGAUGUACCAAGUGAGAUAUACAAAAAAAUAUUUAAUAUUUUAUUAUUAUUAAUUACUACUACAGUUUCUACCCGCUGCAAAGCGCGGGCCUCUUCACUAGUAUUAAUUAUUACUAAU